rnacentral:rRNA from 1 species
AGAGUUUGAUCCUGGCUCAGGACGAACGCUGGCGGCGUGCUUAACACAUGCAAGUCGAACGAGAAUCUAUGGAAAGAGGAUUCGUCCAAUUGAAAUAGAGGACAGUGGCGGACGGGUGAGUAACGCGUGAGGAACCUGCCUUUCAGAGGGGGACAACAGUUGGAAACGACUGCUAAUACCGCAUAACGCGUAGAGGUCGCAUGGCCUUUACGCCAAAGAUUUAUCGCUGAAAGAUGGCCUCGCGUCUGAUUAGCUAGUUGGUGAGGUAACGGCCCACCAAGGCGACGAUCAGUAGCCGGACUGAGAGGUUGAACGGCCACAUUGGGACUGAGAUACGGCCCAGACUCCUACGGGAGGCAGCAGUGGGGAAUAUUGGGCAAUGGGCGCAAGCCUGACCCAGCAACGCCGCGUGAAGGAAGAAGGCUUUCGGGUUGUAAACUUCUUUUGUCAGGGACGAGCAGAAGACGGUACCUGACGAAUAAGCCACGGCUAACUACGUGCCAGCAGCCGCGG